AGAGUUUGAUCCUGGCUCAGGACGAACGCUGGCGGCGUGCGUAACACAUGCAAGUCGAACGAGAGAGUGAGAGAAGCUUGCUUUUCUUACAAUCGAGUGGCAAACGGGUGAGUAACGCGUAAACAACCUGCCCCGCAGAUGGGGACAACAGCUGGAAACGGCUGCUAAUACCGAAUACGCUCCUCUUAGCGCAUGGUAAGAGGAAGAAAGGGUGGCCUCUGGAACAAGCUACCGCUGCGGGAGGGGUUUGCGUCUGAUUAGCUGGUUGGAGGGGUAACGGCCCACCAAGGCGACGAUCAGUAGCCGGUCUGAGAGGAUGAACGGCCACAUUGGAACUGAGACACGGUCCAGACUCCUACGGGAGGCAGCAGUGGGGAAUCUUCCGCAAUGGGCGAAAGCCUGACGGAGCAACGCCGCGUGAGUGAAGACGGCCUUCGGGUUGUAAAGCUCUGUUAUAGGGGACGAACGGCCGGGUAGCGAAGAGGUAGCCGGCAUGACGGUACCGUAAGAGAAAGCCACGGCUAACUACGUGCCAGCAGCCGCGGUAAUACGUAGGUGGCAAGCGUUGUCCGGAAUGAUUGGGCGUAAAGGGCGCGCAGGCGGCUGUGUAAGUCUGUCCAGAAAGUGCGGGGCUAAACCCCGUGAGAGGAUGGAAACUGGACAGCUGAGAGUGUCGGAGAGGAAAGCGGAAUUCCUAGUGUAGCGGUGAAAUGCGUAGAUAUUAGGAGGAACACCGGUGGCGAAAGCGGCUUUCUGGACGACAACUGACGCUGAGGCGCGAAAGCCAGGGGAGCAAACGGGAUUAGAUACCCCGGUAGUCCUGGCCGUAAACGAUGGGUACUAGGUGU
rnacentral:rRNA from 1 species